GGGAAGGUAGUCUAGCUUGGUAUGAUUCUUGGUUCGGAACCAAGAGGCCAGGGGUUCAAGUCCCCUCUUUCCCA
rnacentral:tRNA from 1 species